rnacentral:lncRNA from 1 species
GUUUCUUUCCUUCCAUCACUGGGAUGUCCAUCUUGGGGGGCUUCAAGGCUGCUGGAUCUUCAGCCAUUCGGUUGGCCUGGGCACGUAUCAGUUCCAAUGGAGAGGGCUUCUGGGCUCCUCGGUAGGCCUGGGUGGCAAAACUUCCUACAAAAGUGAACCAGAGUGCAAAUGAUUUCAAAACCAGUAAACAGCUCCCGGUAUACAAUAUGGUAAGAUGUCUGCCAUGCUGCUCUCUUUUUUGAAGGUGCUGCCUUACCAGAAUCGUACUUCUGAAGGGAUCUCGGUCCAAAGAGGCUCCACUUAUCUGACAAGUUUCUGUCCUUAUCCCCACUUCCAGAGUCCAUGGUGCUAGGAUUUGGGCCAGGCCUGCCACGCCACUGCUUAACCCAAGCUGCACACCAAACAAUGAUCACGUUUGAAUUUUCUCAAACGCUCAACAGAUCCAUUCAUGUGUUACUGAUGCUGCCGGUCCCAAGACCACACCUUGAGGACCACUGCUCCCAAGGUUCAAGUAAUGGUCUUUUGAAACAAACAAAAAAAAUCUACUUAGCUCCUCAUUUUCAACCUGCAAGAGCUGGCAGCCUCCACCUUCUGCAAUCGAAACACCUGAUACCUUGCUCAGGCCUAGCAGGGAGGAGAGAACAAGACUUAUUCUUUAUUCUGUGCUUGUCUGGAAGAACUGAGAAGAAAGUAAGAUGGUUGAAAAGGGGGGACAGAUAAAAAGUAAUGAAAAAUGUUGUAUCCUUACUACAAAACAGAAUUUAUACCUUUAAGCUGUGA